UGCAUCGUGUGAGGAUCGAACUCACGACCUUCAGGUUAUGAGACUGACGCGUUACCUACUGCGCUAACGAGGC
rnacentral:tRNA from 1 species